rnacentral:rRNA from 1 species
CGUAGGGGGCAAGCGUUGUCCGGAUUUAUUGGGCGUAAAGAGCUCGUAGGUGGUUCGGUAAGUCGGAUGUGAAAUCUCCAGGCUCAACCUGGAGGGGUCAUUCGAUACUGCCGUGACUAGAGUUCGGUAGGGGAGUGUGGAAUUCCUGGUGGAGCGGUGAAAUGCGCAGAUAUCAGGAGGAACACCCGUAGCGAAGGCGGCACUCUGGGCCGAUACUGACACUGAGGAGCGAGAGCGUGGGGAGCGAACAGGAUUAGAUACCCUGGUAGUCCACGCCGUAAACGUUGGGCACUAGGUGUGGGACUCUAUCGACGGGUUCCGUGCCGUAGCUAACGCAUUAAGUGCCCCGCCUGGGGAGUACGGCCGCAAGGCUA